CUUGUUGGUGAGGUAAUAGCUCACCAAGGCGACGACGGGUAGCCGGCCUGAGAGGGUGACCGGCCACACUGGGACUGAGACACGGCCCAGACUCCUACGGGAGGCAGCAGUGGGGAAUAUUGCACAAUGGGCGCAAGCCUGAUGCAGCAACGCCGCGUGAGGGACGACGGCCUUCGGGUUGUAAACCUCUUUUAGUAGGGAAGAAGCGAAAGUGACGGUACCUGCAGAAAAAGCACCGGCUAACUACGUGCCAGCAGCCGCGGUAAUACGUAGGGUGCAAGCGUUAUCCGGAAUUAUUGGGCGUAAAGAGCUCGUAGGCGGUUUGUCGCGUCUGCUGUGAAAACUGGGGGCUCAACCCCCAGCCUGCAGUGGGUACGGGCAGACUAGAGUGCGGUAGGGGAGAUUGGAAUUCCUGGUGUAGCGGUGGAAUGCGCAGAUAUCAGGAGGAACACCGAUGGCGAAGGCAGAUCUCUGGGCCGUAACUGACGCUGAGGAGCGAAAGCAUGGGGAGCGAACAGGAUUAGAUACCCUGGUAGUCCAUGCCGUAAACGUUGGGAACUAGAUGUAGGGUCCAUUCCACGGAUUCUGUGUCGCAGCUAACGCAUUAAGUUCCCCGCCUGGGGAGUACA
rnacentral:rRNA from 1 species